rnacentral:misc_RNA from 1 species
UCCGUAGGUGAACCUGCGGAAGGAUCAUUAACCGUUACAAACAGUGUGUGCUGCGGCCCCCGGAGGCGAGGCAACGAGCCUUCCGGGAGGUAUGGGGUCCGCCCCUUCACGCGCACGCGUCUGCCAUCCUUACUUUACGAGCACCUUCUGUUCUCCCUCGGCAAGCGCCGUGCGCUGCCGUUGGAACUACAAAACUCUUUUUUUGCAUCUAGCAUUACCUGUUCCGACAAAAACAAUCGUUUACAACUUUCAACAAUGGAUCUCUUGGCUCUGGCAUCGAUGAAGAACGCAGCGAAAUGCGAUAAGUAGUGUGAAUUGCAGAAUUCAGUGAAUCAUCGAAUCUUUGAACGCACAUUGCGCCCCUCGGUAUUCCGUGGGGCAUGCCUGUUCGAGCGUCAUCUACACCCUCAAGCUCUGCUUGGUGUUGGGCGUCUGUCCCGCCUCCGCGCGUGGACUCGCCCCAAAUACAUUGGCAGCGGUCUUUGCCUCCUCUCGCGCAGCACAUUGCGCUUCUUGAGGUGUCGCGGACACGCGUCCAGUAAGCAACAUUUACCGUCUUUGACCUCGGAUCAGGUAGGGAUACCCGCUGAACUUAAGCAUAUC